AUUUGGUGGCAUUGGAAGGAGGUGAUAGAAACUUGGAGGUGGGGCCAGGUUAAAGGAUGUGGGUGCUGGCUGGAGGUGUAACCCUGGGGACCAAGUCUUGUCUCUGGUCCCUUCCCCUCUAGCUUUCCCCCUCCCUGCUUCUGGCUGCUCUAAAGUGAGUGGCUUCCCUCCACCAUGCCCCUCCACCACGUUUCUGCCCCAACACAGGCCUCCUAUGGCAAUGCGCCAUACACCAACACCCCUAAACCGUGAGCCCCAAUAGCUAUUUCCUCCUUAGGUUGUUCACAGCUAUUUGGUCACAAUGAUGAAAAACUGAGUGAUACAGCAAUAUUGCCUCCAGAACUGAGCCUCUGUUUCCAGAUCCACAGCUGCGAUUAUGGGCCCUCCACUCUGUCUCUUGCUCCUCAUGUUGGCAAUUAGAUUCAAGGACCUCAGUCUCUGUUCCUACAGGGAAACCAUCAGAAGGACAAGAGUGAGACCUUUAUCUUCACUGUGCGUUCUACACCUCCUACCGUUGUCCGUGUCCUAGCAAGGGAUGAAGUGCCUUUGGCACAACUGACCUGGCUCUUAACUACUGCACAGAGAGAGGAACAGUUCCCAUUUCAUACUGCUCUACACAGAGUACAUUUAUUUUUCUUUAUCUGCUUUCCCAUUGCUGAGCCACAAUACCUGACCCCCACCCACAGCUUGAGGAGAGGUUUAAUUUGCCUCCCGGUUUCAGAGGCUUCAGCCCGAGGUCGACUGACGCUGAGGUAGAGAUGGAGGCAGAGCAAAGCUGCUCAGUCCACGGCACAGUGAAGUUUAACCCCAUAUCACACCAACCAAACUUCCCUGCUGGUCAGCCGUGCUUUCUAGAUUGAAUACUCGAGGUGUGUUUUUCCCACUGGCGUCGGGGCUGGAAACGGUGGUUACUUCCUAGUAACCAGCUCCCUUCUCCGUGGUGAUCAGAACCCUGGUUUGCAGCCAGCCGUUGUCAUCAGCCUUCACCCUACAGCGGUCUAGCAGAGAGGCAAAGCUAUGCUACUAUGCCAGCGAGACAGAGGAAAGUGGAGUGUGGGUGAGCAGUCUAGGAAAUUUGCUUACAGGGAGAACUGAACCCCUCUGUUCUUCAUUUUAUAACUGGAAACACAGGUGUGGCUGUAGCUCUAGCAGUUGUCUUGGAUCAUAAUAUAGUUAGUGAAAAGGUGAGUGGAAUUCGCAUCCUUAAUCUGGUAGGGUGGUGUCACCCUACCAGCCCUAGACUGUCUGCUUGCAGAGUUUCCUCUUGUUUUAUAGCCGAGACUAAGAUUGAAACCACAGUUUGCUGAGUUUUCUCUCAGGUGGCCACACCUAAGCCCAGCUGCUCGAGCUCUUCACUGGUUCAGCAGUGAUUUGACUCAGCAUGUGUCAGACUUCAUGUUUUUGAGGAGUACACAUACUAAGUUUCUGGAGGGAGGCCUGGCCCGAGCUGUGGGGACAGAAGAGGGCACCUGGUCUCUUCCUGGGGUCAGUAGAAUCUCUUCAGGCUGGGCAGAUACCAUGGCCCUCAAGUGAGCACCUAGCCUUGAGGCUGGAAGGUAGUGACUGGGACUGGGGGCACACCCUCCACUCACGGGUUUCUCCUGGGGCCCAGGGCAAGGACACUCCAACCCUAUUUGCUGAGACCUUGGCUGCCUCUAAGGUUCCUCUCAGCCAAGAGGAGUACAUGGAAAUGUGACUCCUCACCUAGACAUGCUGGGCCAGAAGAUGCCAUCUUCUGGAAUACGGUGACCCUGGAGUCAUGCACAGUAGGGUGGGAGCUAGAGAAUCUAAGAUGUUGAUGUAGAAGAGAACUUGGAGACGCUUUUUCCAGCAUUUGGAACAUGAGGAAGAGUGGGUUUCAGAAGUAGGCUGACAAAACUGGAAGGGAACAGGGUCGGACAAUGGUCUGGGAAUUGCAUUUUCCAGUUUGAUGCUCCUUCUUCAGCAUGGCAUCUGAUACUGUCUGUUGUAGUGGUCCUGAUUCCUAAAGGAGCAGAAGGCAAGAUAGGAUUGAACUCACAAGGAUUUUCUUAGGGGAAAUACUUAUAUUAGAGAAAAUAGGACAGGAACCAGAUUGGCUGGAGGCAGUCACCCAUUGGCAGGCCAUGACUGGAGUCUGGCCCUGAGUGCAUCUGAAGAAAGACCUGGUUGGUCUGUUAUCCAGUCUGUGAACCUCCGUUGUCCAUAAGAAGAACCCUAUGUCUUGUAGAAAGAAGUUGGCUUUUGUGUAUCUGCUGCUGGAGCAGCCAAUGGGAAGAGCGGUCUCAUCACAGGUUCGGCACCAGAUUUCAGAG
ensembl:lncRNA